GGUGAUCCACUAUGACCCCCAGAUUCCUUUAUGCAGUAUUCCUUCCUAUCUCUCCGGAAGUGAGAAUGUGGAUGUUCCCAUUGAUUUCUCACAGACCCAGUGCUCCCCCUGUCUACCUGGACAUUACUGCAACGCCACUGGCCUCCAGACCCCUACAGGGCAAUGCGGAGAAGGGUUCUACUGCACAGUGGGGUCCACCAUUGCCAGUGUUCCCAUCCUAGACAAGACCGGAGGCCCCUGUCCCGCAGGACAUUUUUGCCCCAGGGGCACAUCCAUUCCACUGGCUUGUCCAGCGGGGUCAUAUAACCCUCUACAAAGGCAAGCCAGCUGCCUUCUCUGUGCUAGAGGGUUCUUUUGUCCUAAGAAUUCUUCUUCUCUUGCUGGGAGUGAAUGUCCAGCCGGUCAUUACUGCCCCCCUGGUACAGCUUCAGCGACUCAAUACCCAUGCCCCAGGGGGACUUACAACCCACAGAUCGGCAGCAGUCAUGUUUCUCACUGUAUCCCUUGUGAUCCAGGGUAUUUCUGCAAUGGAACUGGACUCAUAUCUCCUGCUGGUGUCUGUGAAGCUGGGUUCUUUUGCACCAGAGGAGCUGUUUCUCCUAGACCUUCCAUAGUAAGCUGUGUCCGGGUUAUAAACAUUGUGAAACCCAGAAUUUGUGGAUGUAGAGAACCAAAUGUCUACACAGGGGUCGGCAACCUUUCAGAAGUGGUGUGCUGAGUCUUCAUUUAUUCACUCUAAUUUAAGGUUUCGCGUGCCAGUAAUACAUUUUAAUGUUUUUAGAAGGUCUCUUUCUAUGUCUAUAAUAUAUAACUAAACUAUUGUUGUAUGUAAAAAGAAGAACAGGAGUACUUGUGGCACCUUAGAGACUAACAAAUUUAUUAGAGCAUAAGCUUUCGUGGACUACAGCCC
rnacentral:lncRNA from 1 species